rnacentral:rRNA from 1 species
CUACGAGGGGCAGCAGUGGGGAAUAUUGCACAAUGGAGGAAACUCUGAUGCAGCAACGCCGCGUGGAGGAUGACACUUUUCGGAGCGUAAACUCCUUUUAUAUAGGAAGAAGAUGACGGUACUAUAUGAAUAAGCGCCGGCUAACUCCGUGCCAGCAGCCGCGGUAAUACGGAGGGCGCAAGCGUUACUCGGAAUCACUGGGCGUAAAGAGCGUGUAGGCGGAUUAAAAAGUCAGAAGUGAAAUCCUAUAGCUUAACUAUAGAACUGCUUCUGAAACUCUUAAUCUAGAAUAUGGGAGAGGUAGAUGGCAUUUCUGGUGUAGGGGUACAAUCCGUAGAGAUCAGAAGGAAUACCGAUUGCGAAGGCGAUCUACUAGAACAUUAUUGACGCUGAGACGCGAAAGCGUGGGGAGCAAACAGGAUUAGAUACCCCUGUAGUC